UCCACGUAGGAAAGUUGGAGUGGCAGCACAAAGAGGUUUGUUUCCCUCCCCAAAAAAUUGCCGCACCUUUCGUUUUUUUUCUUGAUGUUAUUCGGUAGAAGCUGGUGACGGAGAAUUAGAGAGAUUAUCCAAUCCAGUAUCCAUUGAUCCCGAGAUCUAGCUUCACUCUGCGAAACGAUCACCGUUUCAUCUCCAUCUAUCUAUCGCUUUCAAAUCUGGAAAUAAUAAAGGACGAUCCUGCACACGCCACACACACCAAAAAUGGAGGACACGGGAGCAAACACUACAACACCACAUUGCAUAAAAUCACGCUCACCUGUAACGUUUGCUAUUAACGGUAUGUCGGUAUCACAUUCAAAUUAGAAUGCAAACAAUGCGCUUUACAUCAGGACAAAUUUGAGCAUAAAUUUGAUCCCAUGUGAAGUUGUACUACCUUUGUCUUGACAUAAAAAGUAGGUGACUUUCAUGCAUUCGUUUUUUAUGUGAAUCUCAAGCAGCUUUGUUUGUUU